rnacentral:rRNA from 1 species
GACGAACGCUGGCGGCGUGCUUAACACAUGCAAGUCGAACGGUGAAGGUGGAGCUUGCUCUGCUGGAUCAGUGGCGAACGGGUGAGUAACACGUGAGCAAUCUGCCCCUGACUCUGGGAUAAGCGCUGGAAACGGCGUCUAAUACUGGAUAUGUGCCACGGCCGCAUGGUCUGUGGUUGGAAAGAUUUUUUGGUCAGGGAUGAGCUCGCGGCCUAUCAGCUUGUUGGUGAGGUAAUGGCUCACCAAGGCGACGACGGGUAGCCGGCCUGAGAGGGUGACCGGCCACACUGGGACUGAGACACGGCCCAGACUCCUACGGGAGGCAGCAGUGGGGAAUAUUGCACAAUGGGCGCAAGCCUGAUGCAGCAACGCCGCGUGAGGGAUGACGGCCUUCGGGUUGUAAACCUCUUUUAGCAGGGAAGAAGCGUAAGUGACGGUACCUGCAGAAAAAGCACCGGCUAACUACGUGCCAGCCGCCGCAGUAAUAC